CAGCCAUCGGUCAGGAAGCAACACAAUGCUGGUUACAAACAUAAGGCAAACGUUAGAAACUAUUACCACCAGCUGGAGCAGCAGCAAACGCAAAGUUUGAUCGAUCAAAGGAUCAAAGAACAUCUGGAACAACAAGCUGCAGCUUUCCAGGUCGAUGCUCAUUUCAACCAACAUCUUCUCCCGCUUCCAGGAGAUGUGCCCCGUUCCCCGUCAUUAUGAAUUUGAGUGACAAUUGAGGCCUGAUGUUAGAUGAUGUAACUUAUAAACAGCUGGAGUUCAUGUUACACCUGCAAUAAUUCAAUUUGAUCAGAUGAUAUUUUAUUUCUAUACAUAAAAGCUUUUGCGUAUCAUCUCUUGAUGGUAGAGUAAGCAUGACGUGCUUUACAAGAAUUUUUUCUCA